rnacentral:ncRNA from 1 species
AGGCGAGGACGACCUCGCCACACCACCACAAAGCAGGGACGACCCUG